rnacentral:piRNA from 1 species
UCAAACUUCACCGACCACCGGCCCUCUCC